rnacentral:rRNA from 1 species
UACGAAGGGUGCAAGCGUUACUCGGAAUUACUGGGCGUAAAGCGUGCGUAGGCGGUUCGUUAAGUCUGUCGUGAAAGCCCUGGGCUCAACCUGGGAAUUGCGAUGGAUACUGGCGAGCUAGAGUACGGUAGGGGCAGAGGGAAUUUCCGGUGGAGCGGUGAAAUGCGUAGAGAUCGGAAAGAACACCAACGGCGAAAGCAACUCUGCUGGGCCGACACUGACACUGAGAGACGAAAAGCUAGGGGGAGCGAAUGGG